rnacentral:rRNA from 1 species
UACGUAGGGUGCAAGCGUUGUCCGGAAUUAUUGGGCGUAAAGAGCUCGUAGGCGGUUUGUCGCGUCUGCUGUGAAAAACGCGAGGCUCAACCUCGCGCCUGCAGUGGGUACGGGCAGACUAGAGUGCGGUAGGGGAGAUUGGAAUUCCUGGUGUAGCGGUGGAAUGCGUAGAGAUCCGGAAGAACACCGGUGGCGAAGGCGGUUAGCUGGGCAGUUGCUGACACUGAGGCGCGACAGCGUGGGGGAGCAAACAGGG